UCUGUAGUUCAAAUCUAUCAUCUAAUUUCUCUCUCAGCAUUUAACGCGGCCAUCAGUUUUGGCUUUUCGACUUUGGCACUCUUUCUGUCCCCACUCCCCUAUGAAACAUCUGCGUCUUCUUUACACUGCGCAAAGAGUGUGAUCACCACCUUCUAUUUUCCUUAUUAAGCUACUGAAGAUGAAUGAGCAACCAGAUUCUGUGCUAGAAUUACCUUUAUCAUGCUAGAAUCAGCCGCUUUUUGCUCGUCCUCUAUCGGUUGUUUGGGAUGGAGGAUUUUCCGCGGGAGUGACUCGGCUGUGAAUUACGGCUUGGAAUGUCAGUCUUAAAUUUACAAUGAGCAACCAGAUUCUGUGCUAGGUAAAGUUUAUCUUCCAAUGCUUUUUCGGUUAUUACAUAGAAAGAGAAACGAUUGACUGUUGGAUAUUAGAUUAAAACUGUAACAUAUUGAUUUUGACUAUUUUUGGUCGGACGCUCGUAGUAUUUGUGGCUUUUGGAUCGUUCACCGUUUUGAACAAUUAUUUGAAAUUUCUCGAUAGCUGUGAUUGUGUCCGUGAUAUUCGCCGUCUCUAACUCUCUCUGUGUGUGUAUAUGUGCGUGCUUGCGGUCGAUGUAUAUUGGCUGAAACAGAGGAUGAGUGCAUAAUGAAGGAUCAAUUGAGGAAACGGAUCUGAAGCUGGAGAUGAGAAGGGAUGAUACUUUUCGUGUGGAAGAAGAAGCGGAAACUGAAGUUUUGUAUUGAUUAGAUGAUGAAGUUGUACGUAUCGGCUACAGGAAUUAAAAAACUGACAAUAUCGAGUUCCGCCGCCGUCACGAGCGGCGGAGGUGGUUUAAGAUUGCCGGUUGGCAUGAAAGGGAAGGGAUCAUCGCCGGGGAUUCGCCGGAUAUCUUACCGGGCGUUAUUAUUGCCGGCUAUUUUGGUUCUCGGUUUAAUUUUAUCGUUACUCUUUUUCAGAAUUACCUUUAUCAUGUUAGAAUCAGCCGCUUUUUGCUCGUCCUCUGUCGGU
rnacentral:lncRNA from 1 species